rnacentral:miRNA from 1 species
GGGUACGUCUCCUUUGGCACA